CUUGCCAGCCCCACCUACCGCACCCCCCACCCUCCCCGGCCGACCUCACAAAGGGGCCUAAACCUGAGCCUCAGGACUGCAUCCAGAGAACACCUGUACCUGGAGGCUGCUAGGUGCUCAGGCCAUAAGGUCCUUUUGCCCAUCUGCCUCCCCCAGGGAGCAGCCAGGUCUAUCCUAUUCUUGCUGGGUCCCUACACCUGGGCCAAGUGGGCACAAAGCAGCCCUCGCCGAGAGCACAGACGAGGAGAAAUGAGAUCAUCCAACAGUAGAGAAAACUUUUAAGUCAGCACAAAAUGGAGACUCUUCAGAGCCGUUCUCAGCACCGUCCUGCUGCUGUCUGCCUUAGCCUACUACCCUCUGCCCUUUACAGGGAGAACGUUACACCAGAACAAAGGCACUCGCAAGCCAACAAGAGCAGGUUCUUGAUUUACCUAUUCCAAACGCCAACACUCCUCCUGCUUGGUAUUUCUUAGUCUGCAAGAGAGAGCCAAGUGUUCCUCAGUGCUGUUGAAACCUCACUGGUAUUUCUCUUAAAAAGCAUCAAAGGGCAGGCUUCCUGAAGAGGGUUCUUAAAAAUUAAAUCACCAAGAGGAAAUGUCUUCAUGGCUUCUUCUCUCCUCACCAGACAGAAUAAGCCAUGCUGACAGGGAUGGACUUUCUCAUAAAAGGGCUUUUCAUUUCCAACAGCAAAAACCUUGUUUUUCUUGGAUUUUAGUAAAGUAAACCAAUCCGCCCGAUGUUGGAAUGAAAUAAAACUUUGUAAACAAGUGGGAAAAAAAAGAAGGGGUGAGAGUGGUGGAAGGAGAGAGGAAGAAACAUUUGCAGAGACAACCACUCUAGCACGGAGCCUGUUCUGAUUCUCAGGAGAAUUACGCCCAACAAGAAAGACCUGCUCUCUUAAUUGUUCAAAGGCCACCUGCUAAAAAAACAGGGUGGAACUCCAGGUCCUGCCCACGAAGACACAAAAUACCGUCUGCAGAUCACAUCUCUGUGCUUUGGGACGACUCAGCAGACACUGCCACUACAUCUGAAAAAAAGCAGCAUGACACCGAAAAGCAAUUCGCUCCUGCCUGACCGCCCUGGAUUGCCACUUCAGAAGUAGAGAACCAUGGACGCAUCCAGACGCCAGAAGCGGCAGCCCAGCUCAGCAGGAGGAAGACCAGAAAAGAGACCCAGCGCACUCCUGGUCCUCCUGAAAUAGUGACCCCCUUCACGAGUGUUCUAAUAACCCUCCAGAAUGAAACAAAAGACCUGAGUUGAAUUUAUAACUCCAACUACCAUUCCCAAACUCCCCCAAACACUCACCAUGGGAACAGUAACCCCAUUUCAAAAACCGGCAUCAUAAGCUGGGUGCAGUGGCAUGGGCCAGGAGUCCCACCUACUUGGGAAGCUGAGGCAGGAGGACUGCCCAGGAGCUAGAGGGUGCAGUGACUGUGACAGAGCCUAUAAACAGCCACUGUGCUCCGGCCUGGGCAACACAGUGAGACCCCGUUUCUUAAAAAAAAAAAACAGCAUGAGGCCAGGUGCAGUGGCUCAUGCCUGUAAUCUCAGCACUUUGGGAGGCCGAAGUGGGCGGAUCACAAGGUCAGGAGAUGAGACCAUCCUGGCUAACACGGUGAAACCCCGUCUCUACUAAAAAUACAAAAAAUUAGCCGGGCAUGGCGGUGGGCGCCUGUAGUCCCAGCUACUCGGGAGGCUGAGGCAGGAGAAUGGUGUGAACCUGGGAGGUGGAGCUUGCAGUGAGCCAAGAUCAUGCCACUGCACUCCAGCUGGAUGAGAGAGCGAGACUCCGUCUCAAAACAAACAAACAAACAAAAAAGCAUGAUUAGAGAACUUCAUACUUCAAGAGUUGUGGAAUUCCUUCUCUAGGUAGACAAAUCAAAAGUAUCAGUCACUCAAAGGCUGUUACUAUGUCACAGAAGGAAGGCUGCCUGGUGUGGGAACACAAAUAUGUGUUUGCUGCAUGGCCAAGAAAGGAGGAGCAUGGGGCGGAGGGCUCCAGCCAGAG